rnacentral:lncRNA from 1 species
GGCCAGUCUUCCUCAGCAAAAAGAGGAGGAUUGGCAGCAGAUGUUAGCUCAUGGCUAAUCUUUCUCAAAAAAAAAAAAAAAAAAAGAAUCAGAUUGGCACUGACUUUUCAUCAGCAACAUCAGACACAGGAAUGCAGUGAACCUUGUAGAAAAAACAGAGCUUCAUGCAUGGUGUGUUCUUUUUUCCAGAAAACUUCGCGAUAUACCUUUAAACUCAAGCUUGAUAGCACAGGGAGAGCAGAAUACGGAACUGCUGUCUCUGCUCAGAAGUUUUACAAAAUAUCUAUAUAUUGGCAGGAAAAACCAAAGGAAAUGCAUAAGUAAAAUAAUUGAGAUCAUUUAUAAUUUAAGUGAAUAAUAAUAGGCGUAUGUUGUGGACCAAAAUUUCUUACAAUUGAUAUGUUUUGACUUUAUGCAAUUCUUUACAUGUUUUAUGAACUUUGGAGUUAACCCAAACAUUGGAGUAAGGGGAUUUUAUUUCACAUGGUAAAAACAAAGGUUUGACCUAAAACAACUUGAGAUCUCAGGGAGAUAUUAUCUCUGCCGAGAAGCACAGCAAGGAGGGCUAUAACUUAGGAUAGAAAAUAGAGCAUGUGGGGUUUAACUUGAGGACUUUUACUCUGCCUGGUCAAGGCUCUUUCUUUAGCUGGCUGGGUUAUCUUUGCAUUUCUUAUUGGCAUAAAGAAUGGUAAGUCAUGUUACAACUCCUGUAUAAAGAAGUAUUUUUAGGCCCACAAAAUUGCUUCCUUUAACAGGAGACAUAUAUUUUUUGUGUCACAUUUCUCUUCUUUAAGACAGAAUUAUACUUUCCAAUUUCACAAACGAUUUUUCAGAGUGCUGAAAGGAAAAUAAUUGUUGCAAGUAGGAAUUCUAUUCCAGCCAAACCACCACUCAAAUUUGGGGAGAAAAUAUAAAUAAUUAGAGGCAGACAAGAAACUUAGAAAAUUUGCCACCAAUAGACUCACUCUGAAGUAACUACUUUUGGUCAUAUUAGUUAGAUUUUCUGGGGACUCGAGCUCAGGUUCAGCUUUAUCCAGAAGUGAGACGUCUGCCUCACCCUAGGAGUGCUCCAGCCUAGGUGCAUGCAAGGGACUCACCUAUGGAGUGCGCCAUUUCUUAGUCGGUUUCUUUGUGGGAAGAUGUACUCUGCAAGAGGAAAAAGGAAAGGAGGAGGAAACAAUGAGGUACUAGAAGAAAUAGCGAGCAAACAAGUUAGUGGAACUUAUUGUCUAAAUAUUAAUUGGAUCAAAAAGUUUUAGAGUAGUUAUGAACUAAAAUUCCAGUCACGUCAACACGGUGGGUAUGUUAUAUUGGGACAGGGGAGCACUCAGCAAAAGGAAGUGAAAACAUACCAAGAAUCUUCAGAUCCUGUCUGUUCAAGGGGAAGAUACGGAUAUUGAUUAACUCUAGAGGUUGAGUAGAAAAAAAUUGAAAAAAAAAACUUGAUUAAUCAAGUGGAAAGCAGGAAAGCUGCAAUGGGGAGAUAAAAAAGGAG